GACAAACGCUGGCGGCGUGCCUAACACAUGCAAGUCGAGCGGAGGCAUACGAGGAGCAAUCUGAGGAUGCCUGAGCGGCGGACGGGUGAGUAACGCGUGAGCAACCUGCCUUCCACAGGGGGAUAACGUACCGAAAGGUACACUAAUACCGCAUGAGACCACGGUACCGAUGGUAGUGGGGUCAAAGGAGCAAUCCGGUGGGAGAUGGGCUCGCGUCCGAUUAGGUAGUUGGCGGGGUAACGGCCCACCAAGCCUGUGAUCGGUAGCCGGCCUGAGAGGGUGAACGGCCACAUUGGGACUGAGACACGGCCCAGACUCCUACGGGAGGCAGCAGUAGGGAAUCUUCGGCAAUGGGGGCAACCCUGACCGAGCAACGCCGCGUGAGUGAAGAAGGUUUUCGGAUCGUAAAGCUCUGUUGUAAGAGAAGAACGUGUGUGAGAGUGGAAAGUUCACACAGUGACGGUAACUUACCAGAAAGGGACGGCUAACUACGUGCCAGCAGCCGCGGUAACAC
rnacentral:rRNA from 1 species